CCUACGGGUGGCUGCAGUGAGGAAUAUUGGUCAAUGGCCGAGAGGCUGAACCAGCCAAGUCGCGUGAGGGAAGACGGCCCUAUGGAUUGUAAACCUCUAUUGUCGGGGAGCAAAAGACGCCACGCGUGGCGUUCCGAGAGUACCCGAAGAAAAAGCAUCGGCUAACUCCGUGCCAGCAGCCGCGGUAAUAAGGAGGCUGCGAGCGUUAUCCGGCUUUAUUGGGUUUAAAGGGUGCGUAGGCGGGCUGUUAAGUCAGCGGUAAAAGCUCGGGGCUCAACCCCGGCGAGCAGUUGAAACUGGCUGUCUUGAGAUGUCGAGAGGUAUGCGGAAUGAGCAGUGUAGCGGUGAAAUGCUUAGAUAUUGCGCAGAACUCCGAUUGCGAAGGCAGCAUACCGGCGGCGAUCUGACGCUGAGGCACGAAAGCGUGGGUAUCGAACAGGAUUAGAUACCCCGGUAGUC
rnacentral:rRNA from 1 species